rnacentral:rRNA from 1 species
CAACGCCGCGUGAGGGAUGAAGGCCUCUGGGCUGUAAACCUCUUUUAUCAAGGAAGAAGAACUGACGGUACUUGAUGAAUAAGCCACGGCUAAUUCCGUGCCAGCAGCCGCGGUAAUACGGGAGUGGCAAGCGUUAUCCGGAAUUAUUGGGCGUAAAGCGGUCCGCAGGCGGUUUUACAAGUCUGUCGUUAAAGCGUGGAGCUCAACUCCAUUUCAGCGAUGGAAACUGUAAGACUCGAGUGUGGUAGGGGCAGAGGGAAUUCCCGGUGUAGCGGUGAAAUGCGUAGAUAU